rfam:Rhizobium sp. Root708 contig_7, whole genome shotgun sequence.
AGCUAGUGCACACGGUGGCUUUUCCUCCCAGUUCCACCGCAUUAGCUGUUCCCCUCUGGAGGUUUUGACCUUCACACCUACAAGGGCCCCGGCUUUUCGGCGGCCCUCUUUU